UUUACAAAGUCCCACGCUUCCUCAAAGAGCUCCACAACGAAGCCUUCAUUCCCAGGGUUGUAUCAUUGGGCCCCUUUCACCAUGGCUCGCCGCACCUCCAACCCAUGGAGCAACACAAGCGUCGGGCGCUCCUCCACUUUCUCAACCGCUCGGAGCACCCCCUCAAAGUCUACCUUGAUGCACUCCAAGCCAAGGAGCAGGCAAUCCGGGACUGCUACGAGUGGCCAUGCGACCUGGCCCCUCCCGAGAGCGUCGAGUUCCUUAACAUGAUGCUGCUUGAUGGCUGUUUCCUUCUUGAACUCCACCGUGUCAGCCAAACAGACGGUGAGACAGGCUACGCAGCUGAGGAUCCGGUGUUCGGCUCAAAAUUGGCAUUGUUCUUUGCUCACCACCACAAUCAUGACCUUAUGAUGCUGGAGAAUCAGAUCCCUUUGAUGGUCUUGAACACUCUGUUGGACCCGCUUGGAACAGGGAUCCGCACCCGGGUGAAUGAGCUGAUGCUUGAGUUAUUAGGGGAGGAGAUCCAAGGGGAGGUUUCCGAGGGCAAGAUGGGGUUGCAUGCCCUACAAGUUUACAUUAUGAACAGUCUCAUCGGCAACAUCCCUGAGAUCGAGGAGUUGAGCGACCCGGAGCCAUAUUUCAAGAAGUUGCCCUCGGCCACAGCGUUGCAUGAAGCUGGGGUGAGGUUCGAAAUUAGCAGCAUGAGUGGGCUCACGAACAUCACCUUCGACCAUGGAGUGCUACGGCUGCCAUGGAUAGCCAUUCAUGGAUCUACGGUACGUAUCAUAGUUCUUGUGAUUGGAGCAAACCAGUUUCUGCGAUUGGUUGGACUCUCAAUUGGUACUAUGCAAUUGGUUGGUUGGACUAUGAUUGGUCUAGUCCAAAACAAAAAUUAUAUUUGGUUAAAAAUAUAAUGGAACUAAUAUUUGAUUAUAAAACUCAUCCAAAAAUUGAAAAAAUUCUUUUCUUGAUGAAUAUUCCAUUUUUACUUUUUAAAGUAACGGUCGAACCAAUUUUAACUAGACCAAACCUUUCCCAGGUUUAAUGACCAAUGUGAUUCUAAUCACCAAUUGGUACAUAUAUUGAGGUGGGAUGGACAUGAUUGCAAACAUAAUGGAUAUAGUGUUGCAAACAUCAACACGAUAUCAUAGUGAUUCAAACAUCUCGAUCUAGCUCAAAUUCUACCAAAUUCGGUCGGAUUCAAAAGAUGAAUGGUUCUAGUCUAGAAAUCUUUAGAUAUGCCUGAUUUUUAUUUUCUCUAUUUUUCUAUUCUGGUUUUUUUUAUAAUAUAGCCUGGUUGGAGUCGGGGAAUCGUCCAAGGCUAGGGAAAUGACCACCACUUCCUAGUCAGGGCGCUUUAAACAUCAUUACUACUUUCAACCAAGCCCUGAACCGGAUCACUAGGUAUUAUUAUAACCGAAAAGUAGGAUACUGUAAAUUUUUUAGUUUUUUGUAUUUACAAAAGACCAAAAAAACAUAAUUGAAAGAGACCUCAGAUUUCUUAUUUUGAUCUUUAUAUAUCUAUUUUUGCAACAACUGAAUGCAAACACCUUUCAUGUUGGAAAAAUCACCUUAGACAACUUAACAAGUGUUUUCGAUGGAUUGAAUACAUUAUAGAAAUGGAAACCUUGAGUGCAUCGAAGUAUUUUGCUUUAUUUUAUUUUUUCAAUGCAAAGUUCUACGAUUAGUUUGACACAUAUUGCAUGUAUCCAAUGCGGUAGGCACUAUGGUGUGCCUCCAAGAGGUGGGCUUGAUUUAUAAGAAAAAAUUAAAACAAAAAUUCAAUUUUUUUUUUUUUUUUUUUUUGAGUUUUUAUAGAACUCACACCUUGAGACGAAAGAAAAUAAAUUGUUAAAAAACACACAUACCUUGAGAAUUGAAAAAAUGAGAAAAACAAAAAAUUAAUUCUAUUUUUUUUUUAAUUGUAUCGUACAUUAUGUUACAGGAAGCCUUUUUUUUGAAUGUGAUGGCAUUUGAGCAGUUGAAUGUCAGGAAUUCGAACUGUGUCUGCUCAUAUAUAAGCUUUUUGGAUGAUCUGAUAGAUACAACCAAGGAUAUUGAACUGCUAGUUUCUUCCGGAAUCAUAGAAAAUAGGAUGGGAAGUGAUGAACAUGUGGCUGAUGUCUUCAACAAGGUCACCAAGGGCAUAGUCUUUUCUGAGAAUCCCCACUUGAUGGGGGUACGGACCAGGCUCAUCCGCUAUUGCAAGAAGCGUCGUAACAGGUGGGGGGCAUACUUCAUCCACACCUACCUUAGUGACCCAUGGACGCUUAUAUCGUUGCUGGCAGCGGUAUUCCUACUGCUACUAACGGUGGUUCAGACUCUGUAUACGGUGCUCAGCUACUACAACUAAUUUGAUGCAUGAGUCUUCACUUCCUCUAGCUGUAACUGCACCCAUUGCAUGAAAGUGUAUUAUGAUCCUAUCAUUAGGGCAUGUUGGAUUUUGGAGCAAUGAUUCCUUACAAAUCAAGUCUUGAUGAUCAUUGCUGAAUAACGAAGCACCGACUGGAUUGAUAGAAAUUCAUUUAAACCAGAAGAUUUUAUACUCCUGUAUGAGCAGCAUAUCGUCCAUUUAUUCCCUCAACUAAUAUCAGUUCAAAGAGUAUAGUAUUUUUUGGAACUCAAGUUUUUGGAUGUGACCUCUUCAGCAUAACUUCAAUUAAGAAAAAAAAGAAAAAAAAAGAAAAGAGGAAAUUGCAAACCAUUUUGUGGCUUACUCUUAUAGCCAUAAAAAAAUUCAACGAGAGAAACCUGUAUCACUCUCUCGAAAUGAAAAUAAAGAAGGCAAAGCCUUAAGAGGGUUGAAAGAUUGAUGUAUUAUUAAAAAUCGGAAAUCACAAAAACGCAUACUUUAAAUACAUACGAACACGUGGGAGAUCGAACACAUGCAGUUUCAAAAGCAUGGAAACACAGUCGCGAAAACAUGGUAAAGAAACUCCUUUUGACAUUGCAAGAAUCCCCAACUAAAAGUAUUCUUUCUACUGGCACAAUUUGUUUUAGUUUUUACAAAAGUAAAUAAAGAUAGAAAAAAGCUCCUUCUAAGUGAGACUACAGGAGCCUAAUGUUGGAUUUUCUUUAUUAUUUUAUAAUUACGCACAUAAAAAACUCAAUUUCUUCACUCUUACUNNNNNNNNNNNNNNNNNNNNNNNNNNNNNNNNNNNNNNNNNNNNNNNNNNNNNNNNNNNNNNNNNNNNNNNNNNNNNNNNNNNNNNNNNNNNNNNNNNNNNNNNNNNNNNNNNNNNNNNNNNNNNNNNNNNNNNNNNNNNNNNNNNNNNNNNNNNNNNNNNNNNNNNNNNNNNNNNNNNNNNNNNNNNNNNNNNNNNNNNNNNNNNNNNNNNNNNNNNNNNNNNNNNNNNNNNNNNNNNNNNNNNNNNNNNNNNNNNNNNNNNNNNNNNNNNNNNNNNNNNNNNNNNNNNNNNNNNNNNNNNNNNNNNNNNNNNNNNNNNNNNNNNNNNNNNNNNNNNNNNNNNNNNNNNNNNNNNNNNNNNNNNNNNNNNNNNNNNNNNNNNNNNNNNNNNNNNNNNNNNNNNNNNNNNNNNNNNNNNNNNNNNNNNNNNNNNNNNNNNNNNNNNNNNNNNNNNNNNNNNNNNNNNNNNNNNNNNNNNNNNNNNNNNNNNNNNNNNNNNNNNNNNNNNNNNNNNNNNNNNNNNNNNNNNNNNNNNNNNNNNNNNNNNNNNNNNNNNNNNNNNNNNNNNNNNNNNNNNNNNNNNNNNNNNNNNNNNNNNNNNNNNNNNNNNNNNNNNNNNNNNNNNNNNNNNNNNNNNNNNNNNNNNNNNNNNNNNNNNNNNNNNNNNNNNNNNNNNNNNNNNNNNNNNNNNNNNNNNNNNNNNNNNNNNNNNNNNNNNNNNNNNNNNNGCCUUCGAUGACUUGUCUAACUCUUUUUGCACCUUCCCCGUGUAGUUUCCUCCUCACUCUUGCCAUAUACAUGAAAUAUUUGGAUGAAUUUACAAGAGAAUACAAAAAAAUUAUAUACUUCUCACAUUCCAAAUUAAAAUUUACAUGGAUUGCAUGCUAACCCCUUCUUCAUUCGAAUCAAUUUACAUGGAUCCAUGCUAACUCUUUUAUUUUGAGUGCUCGUCUAACUCCCCCCGAAUGGGCUGAAACACGAAAUUACUUCAUUUUUCUUAUCAAAUCGAAGAAGACUCUGAAGCGAAUAUGAUAAUGUUGACUUGAACUUUACAAUAAAUAUCAUUGACAUAUACUUUAAUAAAAAUCAAGCAUAUUUCUAACAUCCCUAGCCCUCCUUACGCUCGGUUUUACCCUUAACAUGUAUCUUAAUUUUUGAAAUAUUUCAUAUUCUAAGGAGUUUUAUAAAAAUAUUAGCAACUUGAUUUUGUGUCUUUGCGUAAACAACUUCAACUUUCUUUUUUUUCAUUUGGGUUCAAAUGAAAUGAAACCAAGUCUCAUUAUGCUUACUUCUUUCACGAAACAUCAGGUUCUUUGCUAAUCCCAUUGUUGACUUAUUCUCUAUGUGGAUCCUGACAAGAGUUUCUUGAGGAUUUAAGAUGUCCUUGAGAUGAGAUGAUUCCAUAUCCACCAUGCUUAACAAGUACUUGAACUGGCGGCUAUGUACUAGGACUCUCAAGUUAAAAGUGUCAUGGUUAGUUGUUUGAUGACAAAGUGAAUGUUUAGCUCCUCAUGUAGAAGACGGAAUCAGAAGCGUAUUUUCAUCAUCUAAGUGUCCAAUCACUAUAAAAAAAAACUGAUAAAAAACAUUAGAACAUUAACAAAACAAAUCAUGUGCCUUUGAUAUAAUGGAGAAUCAUUUGUAUUACUCUCAAGUUACAAGUACUUGAGAGUAGCUCUGUAUUGGCUAGCCAAACUGACUCUAAAAAAAAACAUCUAUUCUUGUACAUGUUAAGUGUUGUAGGCUUCCCACAAAACUUUUUUAAAAAAUAGAAUCAAUCCUCUCUGCUCCACCUCAUUUCCUUAAUUUUACACCACAAUCCAUUGUUGUAUUAUCCAUAUUGCAAUUUCUAUUUUAAAUAUGUCACACCCCAAGAAUUUACAAUACAAAUAUUCCUGAUAUGUAACAGUCAAAACAUAUAUACAUCUCUUGAUAGGACAAAUUUACAGUGGCAAAUUCUUACAAGGUAAUAAAAGAAAGUUUAAGCACAACUACAGUAUCUUCCAAAGUUGAUCCUGAAGAGCACUCAAAAUGAAACCGCAGUUAUCCUACAAAAAUGUUUACCAUAAUUUGAUGAGUUUGGCUACUCAGUAAGUGAUCAUCAUAAUCCUCAAACUAAUCAUGAUUGAAAGAUAUCAAUAUUUUAAAAAAGGAGAUUUAUUAAUAGAAAUGCAUUAACAGUUUCACUUUAAAAAAAAUGCAUAAUUAAGUAUAUUUCGAAUAAUUGAAAUGUGUAUAACAUUUUAACGGCAAUGCAUAAUUCAAAGGAUUUCACAAAUUACCCUACUGGCGUCCCAAGUAGGUCACCUAUAUACCCCAUCAGCGUCCUGAUGGGUCCACUUAAUCCCUAUCGGCUUCUCAGAUAGGUCCACUUAUACCUCACCGGCGUACCGGAUGAGUCCACUUAAUCCCUACUGGCGUCCCAGAUAGGUCCACUUAUAUAUCACCGGCGAACCAGAUGAGUCUACUUGCAUACUUAAAGUAUUUCUAAAUCUCUUUAAACAUUCGAAAGCAGCAAUAUCAUGUACUCAACAUAUCAUUGCAAUUAUUAACAUGAAUUUCACUGAAACCAUUAAUAACAAUCACUUUCAAUAACAUUUCUAAAAUAACCAGUCAAACAUUUUGGGCUCAAAUUUAGAAAGGUAGCAGUUUGUAAAGACAUUCUAGCAUAAUUGCCAAUCUAAUAUGUAUAGAAAAACUCUUACAGAAAUUCAAGAAUACAUAAUUAUUACAAUUUAUGGGAUGUCAAUUCGCAAAUAAACAUUUCACAGACAAUGCUAUAAUCAAUUGCAAAAAUAUCAGUUUUCAAUUAAUAAGGCAGUCAUUUGCACAUGAAAUUUACAAUGUAUAAAUAUCCAAAAACAGUAGAAAGAAAUCUCGCAAUUUUACUAAAAGCAAAAAUAUGACAUUUAUUUUUAAUAAUUUUACAGUAUCUAAAAUUUUCUAACAAUAGACAAGAAAAAUAAAUAAAUUUAUUUAUAAGAAUUUACAGCAUUUAAAAAUUUCUAACAUAGAUACAAUAUCACAAUUUUAUUAAAAAGAUUAAUUUUCAAAAUAAAAAGGUCGCUUGCACAUAAAAUUUAUCGGGCCUAAAAUUCAUGAUAAUGAGCAGAAAUAAUUAUUUCAUUUCAUUUUUAAAAAGAACAGAUUAUUUUUCAAGGUAAUGAAGUCACUUACCUAAAAUAUUUAAGAGGGUGCUUCCGAUAAAAAUUCGGCUAGAGAGAGAAAGAGCUCACUGCAUUUCGACUAGAGAGAGAUCUCAAAAUUUUCUAAAGUGAGAGUCCUCAUUUUUUUUAUUUAAAUUCUUACGAUACCUUAUAAUAUUCUUUUAUUAAGUUACACAUCACACAUGAGGUGUAACAGUUAUAUUACUUCGUAUACGCUUAAAGCCCAUGUCCUAUGCAGGACGUGGCAAAGGUGAGCAAAAGCUUUUAAAAAUAGUGAUGGUCCCUAAGGACCAUCAUACUUAUAUGGACCAUCACUUAUUAAAAGUUUCUUUUCUUUUUUUUUUUUUGAAAUUUUAGGAUUAUUACAUUUUUCCCCCCUUAAAGAAAUUUAGUCCUCUAAUUUUUUGUACCUGAUUACUGAAAAAGAUAAGGAUAUUUUUCUCUAAUAUCGUCUUCUCGUUCCCAAGUCAACUCUUCUCUUGAAUGGUAUUGCCAUAAUAUACGGACCAAAGGAAUCUCCUUGUUGCGCAACACUUGUACCCUUCUAUCCUGUAUCAAAAUUGGCUGCUCAAUGAAGGAUAAGUCUUUCCUGAUUGGUGAAGGUUCAAAUUUCAAGAUAUGGGAUGGGUCAGGCUGAUAUUUUUGUAGUGAUGAUACAUGGAAGACAUUAUAGACGUUUGCCAAUUCGGGUGGUAAGGCAAGUUUAUAAGCGACACCUCCGAUUCGUUCCAGAAUAUCAAAUGGGCCGAUGUAACGUGGGCUCAGCUUUCCUUUCUUGCCGAAUCUCAUAAUGCUUUUUAUUGGUGAGAUUUUCAAGAAAACUCGAUCGCCUUCCUCAAAUUCAAGAUCUCUCAUUCGGUUAUCGGCAUAACUCUUUUGCCGACUCUGAACUGUCUUGAGCCUUUUUCGAAUUAAUGCUAUCUUAUAUAUGGUUAUCUGGACAAUUUAUGGCCCCAAAAGCUUACUUUCACCAACCUCGUCCCAACAGAUGGGUGACCUGCAUUUCCUUCCAUACAGGGCUUCAUAUGGUGCCAUCUGAAUAUUGGCUUGGAAGCUAUUAUUAUAAGCAAACUCAAUCAGGGGUAAAUGGUCAUCCCAGCUUCCUGUAAAGUCAAUGACACAGGCCCUUAACAUAUCUUCCAAAGUUUGAAUAGUCCUCUCCGAUUGUCUAUCAGUUUUGGGGUGAAAGGUAGUGCUAAAGGUGAGUCUCGUCCCCAUGGCUGACUGUAGCCUAGCCUAAAAUUUAGAAGUAAACCAAAUAUCCCUGUCCGAUACAAUACUGACCGGAACUCCAUGUAACCGCACUAUUUCCUUAAUGUACAACUUGGCCAGUCGAUCCAAAGUGUAUGUCGUGCGAAUCGGUAGAAAUGGACAACUUUGGUCAGCCGGUCCACAAUGACCCAAAUGCUAUCAUGUCUUGAAUUUGUUAUAGGCAAGCUAGAGACAAAAUCCAUAGAGAUAUGCUCCCACUUCUAUUCUGGCACGGGUAAAGGCUGCAACAACCCAGCGGGCCUUUGAUGCUCAGCUUUUACUUGCUGGCAUGUUAGGCGCUUAGACACAAAUAACGCUACCUAUUUUUUCAUAUUAUUCCACCAAAAGGUUUUCUUCAGGUCCUGAUACAUUUUAAUACUUUCGGGAUAUAUCGUAUAACGAGAGUGAUGUGCUUCUUCCAAUAUAGUUUUCUUCACACUCUCAUCAUUCGGGACACAAAUUCGACCUUUAAAUCAUAGUAAAUCCUCACUACAUAUAGAGAAUUUGUCUCUCUUUUCUUGCUUCACCUCUUCUACAAUUGUUAUAAGCUGAGGGUCUUUCUUUUGUGCCGAUCGAAUAUGUUGGAUUAAUUGGGGUUCUGCCUUAAUGUUGGCAAUCAUACUUACCACACCAUUAAUGGACGGAGCCGGAUGCCAAUCCACUAUUUCCUCUAACAAUCUUAUUUAUUGGAUCAUUAGAUGAGCUAAGACUCCCGUAGAUUUUCUACUUAGAGCGUCGGCCACAACGUUAGCUUUUCUUGAAUGAUAAUGGAUUGUACAAUCAUAAUCAUUUAAGAAAUCCAUCCAUCUUAUCAGCCGCAUAUUCAAAUCCUUCUGAGAGAAGAGGUAUUUCAAGCUCUUAUGAUUUGUGUAUAGUUCGAAUUGCUCACCAUAUAGAUAAUGCCUCCACAUUUUCAAAGCGAAUACUAUUGCAGCCAGUUCCAAGUCAUGAAUUGGAUAUUUUUUCUCAUAUUCUUUCAACUGUCUGGAUACAUAUACCACUACUUUCCCAUAUUACAUUAAUACACAGCCCAAGCCUUUAUGUGAAGCAUCACUAUAAAUCACAAAUCCCCCACUCCCCUCAGGAUUAGUUAAAAUAGGUGCUGAAGUUAAUCGAACUUUUAGUUAUUGAAAACUCUCCUCACAUUCACUUGUCCACUCAAAUUUGACAUUUUUCUAUGUCAAUCGAGUCAAUGGGGUUACGAUUCGAGAAAAUCCUUCUGUAAACUUUUUGUAAUAUCUUGCCAAUCCUAAAAAGCUUCGAACUUCAGUCACAUUUCUUGGUUGUUUUCAAUUAACAACGACUUCAACCUUUGAAGGAUCAACUGAUAGACCUUCCUUUGAUAUGACAUGUCCUAAAAAUGUCACUUGUUCAAGCCAAAAUUCACAUUUACUAAGUUUGACAUACAAUUUCUUCUCUCUUAAUAUUUGCAAUACCAUUCUUACAUGCUGCUCAUGUUCCUUCUGAAUCUUGGAAUAAAUUAAAAUAUCAUCGAUGAAUACCACAAUAAAUUUAUCCAAAAAAGGCUUAAAGAUCCGAUUCAUCAAAUCCAUAAAUGCAGCAGGUGCAUUGGUUAAUCCAAAAGGCAUGACUAAAAAUUUAUAAUGGUCAUACCUUGUUUUGAAAGCUGUAUUGGGAACAUCCUCACUUUUAAUCUUAAGCUGAUGGUAUCCAGAUUUAAGAGCAAUUUUUGAAAACACUUGUGAUCCUUGUAAUUGAUCAAAUAAAUCAUUAAUUCUAGGUAAUGGAUUCUUAUUUUUCACUGUCAUUUGGUUCAACUGUCUAUAAUCAAUACACAAUCUCAUAGUCCCAUCUUUCUUUUUAACAAACAAUACCGGAGCACCUCAAGGUGACACACUGGGCCUGAUAAAACCUUUAUCUAAUAAUUCUUCCAAUUAUUGUUUCAGUUCCUUAAGUUCUGCAUGUGUCAUUCUAUAAUGUGCCUUAAAAAUUAGGGCUACCCCUGACAAUAAUUCAAUAGAGAAUUCAAUUUCUCUGUCAGGCGGUAAUCCUGGAAAUUCUUCAGGAAAAACGUCGAGAAAUUCUCGGAUAACCGGAGUGGUAUCUAAAUUUAUCUCUUCCUUCAUGUCUUCUUUGAUAUAGGCAAGAAAUCCUUAACACUCUUUUUAAAAGAGGCGAUUAGCUCUAAUACAGGAGAUUAAAUAUGAUGGGGAGUCUUCUUUGAUAUCAUUGAAGUAAAAUAUUGGUUGAUUCGGAAUACUAAAGGUAACCAUUUUCUUGUAACAAUCAAUACUUGCAUGGUAUUCAGCAAGCCAAUCUAUGCCUAAGAUUACAUCAAAAUCUUGAAUUUUUAGGAGUAUUAAAUCAAUAAACAGUUCUUUUUCUUCUAUCUUUAUUACACAUGAUUUGUACACUAUAUUGGUGUCAAUUGAAUUUCCCAUCGGUGUUGCUACCUCUAGAAUGUAUUAUAAUUGUUCUGUUUCUACCUUUAAGUGGCAUGCAAAAUGUGGUGACACAAAUGAAUGAGUAGAUCCAAGAUCAAUCAAAACAUGAGCUACUUUUUGGAAGAUAAUAAGAGUACAUUAGAUCACUGAUUUUGAGGCCUGAGCGUCUUGUUGGGUGAUCGCAAACACUCUUUUCUUCAUUUGAGAUUUUUAAGCUAUCUCUCCCUGCUUUGGAAGCUGUUGUAUCAGUAAGCUAGGACAUUCUUUAAUCUGGUGCCCCAAUUUUCCACAUUUAAAACCGGCUCCGGUAUUCCAAUAAUAAGGGCUGGAUCCAUGAUUUUUCCCACAUUUCUUACAUGGUUCUAUUGGGCUUUGAAGUGGCAAGGGCCUUGGCUUCUUGUUUGCCCUUUCAAACUGUUGUCGAUUAGAUGUUGUGGGUUUAACAUGGCUUUUUUGAUUUUUCGUCUUUUGGUAAUCUUCGAAAUCUUUUUCAACAAUUAGGGCUCGAUCCACUAUUUCAGCAUAAGUUCUCAAUUUUAAGACUGAUAUUCUGCUUCUAAUAGCUGGUCUGAGACCCCUUUCAAAUUUCUUCACCUUUCUUGCCUCAUUGUUAACUAUAUGUGGUGCAAACCUGAUCAAUUCAGUAAACUUGGCCUCGUACUGUGCUACUGUCCGAUUUCCUUGGAUUAAUUCCAGAAAUUCCAUUUCUUUUUGGUCUCGAAUAAAAUCUGGAAAAUACUUUUCAUUAAAUGCCUCUCGAAAUACUUCUCAAGUCAAUGGUUUAUUUGCUAACCAAUACUCCUUUUGCCAUUCGCCACCAGUGUUGUGCUUCACCUUCUAACAUAAAAACUGUCAAGGCCACUUUCCUAUCAUCGGAACAUUCUAUUACCUCGAAUAUUUUCUCUAAUUGCAUAAUCCAUCCCUCAGCUGCCAGUGGGUUUACAGCAAAAGAAGGUGUGUUCAAUUUAUUAAAUUGUUCAAUAUUACUCCCACCAUUUCCUGUAACUGACUGCCUGGAUGGAUUGUUGUUUUCCAUCUGAUGUUGCAUUAGAGCAACCAUAUUUUCCAAGGCUUUGUGAAUUCCUUCCAUAAUAGCUUCAGCUAUUUUGGAUCUUGACUUCGUCCGGUCUGUACAUGCAAUAAAUAUUAUUUUAAGUACAUUCUUCUUAAAUUUCCUAAGAAUCUUAAACCUAUUGCUCUAAUACCAUAUUUGUCACACCCCAAGAAUUUACAAUACAAAUAUUCGUGAGAUGUGACAGUCAAAACAUAUAUAUAUCGCUUGAUAGGAAAAAUUUACAGUGGCAAAUUCUUACAAGGUAACAAAAGAAAGUUUAAGCACAACUACAGUAUUUUCCAAAGUUGAUCCUGACGAGCACUCAAAAUGAAACCGUAGUUAUCCUGGAAAAAUGUUUAUCAUAAUUUGAUGAGUUUGGCUACUCAGUAAGUGAUCAUCAUAAUCCUAAAAAUAAUCAUGAUUGAAAGAUAUCAAUAUUUCAAAAAAGAGAUAUAUUAACAAAAAUGCAUUAACAAUUUCACUUAAAAAAAAAUGCAUAAUUAAGUAUAUUUCGAAUAAUUGAAAUGUGUAUAACAUUUUAACGGCAAUGCAUAAUUCAAAAGAUUUUACAAAUUACCCUACUGGCGUCUCAAGUAGAUCACCUAUAUACCCCAUCAGCGUCCUGAUGGGUCCACUUAAUCCCUAUCGGCUUCCCAGAUAGGUCCACUUAAUCCCUGCAGGUCCACUUAUACCUCACCAACGUACCGGAUGAGUCCACUUAAUCCCUACCGGCAUCACAGAUAGGUCCACUUAUAUAUUACCGGCGAACCGGAUGAGUCUAAUUGCAUACUUAAAGUAUUUCUAAAUCUCUUUAAACAUUCGAAAGCAGCAAUAUCAUGUCCUCAACAUAUCACUGCAAUUAUUAACAUGAAUUUCACUGAAACCAUUAAUAAUAAUCACUUUCAAUAACAUUUCUAAAAUAACCAGUCAAAUAUUUUGGGCUCAAAUUUAGAAAGGUAGCAGUUUGUAAAUACAUUCUAGCAUAAUUGCCAAUCUAAUAUGCAUAGAAAAACUCUAACAGAAAUUCAAGAAUACAUAAUUAUUACAAUUUAUGGGAUGUCAAUUCGUAAAUAAACAUUUCACAGACCAUGCUAUAAUCAAUUGCAAAAAUAUCAGUUUUCAAUUAAUAAGGCAGUCAUUUGCACAUGAAAUUUACAAUGUAUAAAUAUCCAAAAACAGUAGAAAGAAAUCUCACAAUUUUAUUAAAAGCAGAAAUAUGACAUUUAUUUUUAAUAAUUUUACAGUAUCUAAAAUUUUCUAACAAUAGACAAGAAAAAUAAAUAAAUUUAUUUAUAAGAAUUUACAGCAUUUAAAAUUUCUAACAUAAAUACAAUAUCACAAUUUUAUUAAAAAGAUUAUUUUUCAAAAUAAAGAGGUCGCUUGCACAUAAAAUUUAUCGUGUCUAAAAUUCAUGAUAAUGAGCAAAAAUAAUUAUUUUAUUUUAUUUUAAAAAGAACGGAUUAUUUUUCAAAGUAAUGAAGUCACUUACCUAAAGUAUUUAAGAGGGUGCUUCCGAUAAAAAUUCGGCUAGAGAGAGAAAGAGCUCACUACAUUUUGACUAGAAAGAGAUCUCAAAAUUUUUUGAAAUGGGAGUCCUCACUUCUUUUAUUUAAAUUCUUAUAACACCUUAUAAUAUUCUUUUAUUAAGUUACACCUCAAACAGGAGGUAUAACCGGUUUAUAUUACUUGGUAUACGGUUAAAGCCCAUAUCCACAUAUGCACGUGGCAAAGGUGAGGAAAAGCUUAAAGCAAAAGCUUUUGAAAAUAGUGAUGGUUUUUAAGGACCAUCAUACUCAUAUAGACCAUCACUUAUUAAAUUUUUUUUUUUUUUAAUUUUUUUUUAGAAUUAUUAUAAAAUAUCUUUGGUGUUUUUUUCAUAAGCCUUUCGUGAUACAAAAAAUCCAUCAUCUAUUUGUAUAAUUUCAAUGAAAAUAAGACAUGAAUGGAAUGUCGGCCAUUUCAAACUCUUCAACCAUGGCCAUUUGAAUUCUUUUAAAAUGGCUGGGUUAUUUAUCUCCUUACCGCACAAAUUCGGCAAGAUCUCGAAGAAACCUCAACAAAUUUAUGAGUUAAAAUUGAAGAUCGGUAGAUAAAUUGUGGGAUCCGUCAAAUACAUCUCAAAAAGACUCCCAGAGAGAUCUAAUUUCUUUAAGACUCGCUAGUAGUUUGGGCUCAAGAUCACUAAGAAUUCUAUCACAAAACCCAAAGAUAGAAAAUAAGAAAAAGGGAAAGGUUUCUAUGUUCUUUUUACAACAUAGAAGUUCUAUCCUCCCCUUUAUCCAACGGUCCAUUUUUUAAUGGAGGGUGAAGAUUGCCCCAAUCACAAUGUCACGUCUUUAUAUUGUUUUAUUUUUAAUUUUUUUCUAUAAACUAUUUUGACACCUAAUUUUGAAUGUCUAUUCCUCUAUUAAACUCGCACUAACGAAAAAAAAAAAAUAUUUUCAAUAAAAUAAAAUGAUCAAAAUACCCCUGAAAGUUUCAAGAGGUAUUUUGGUUCUUAUGUUUUAUCAAAAAAUUAUUGUUAAUAUUAUUUAUAGGUGCGCCCCAAUGAGAAGAUGACACGUACAAAAUUUCAUAUUAAAAAAAUUUGUAUUAAAAAACUAAAAAUAAAAUAAUUUGAGAUAUCGGAUCUAAGAUCAAAUGGUGAGUGGCUCUCUUGAUAAAAAAAUAGACGAUUGGAUGAUAGGGGGAGGAUAGAAUUUCUAUGUUGCAGAGAGAACAUAGAAAGCUUUUCCAUAAGAAAAAUCAAUGUAAAGAUUAAGUUAAAACUAACGCUAAAGGAAAGAAAAUAAUUUUUUUUAAAAAUAACUUACCACGCCAGUAUUAGACAGAGGGUUGGUUAUGGCGUCGCUUUUUCUUGAAGAGCCCCAAGGUAUUUUUCCCUUAAAAAAGAUAUGGCAAAGAUUCUUUUUAGUCAUCUAUCUACUUGGUCUAACAUGCGUUAGAUAGAUAGAGAGAGAGACACAUGUAUAACCUUGAAUCAAUCGGCCAAUGACGUUCACGCGUUACUUACUUAUCCUGUUAGCACCUACUCAAUAGUGGCUUAAAAACUUUGUAUAAGGUGUUGCUUCUACUAUAGAAAUAAGGUUCUUCUAAAAACCCAUUAGAAAAUGGCGUUAUGAGGCUGGAAAAUCCUUUGAAUGAUUAUCUCAACCUCGAAAUAUACAGAUGAGGAAAAGCAAUGAGGAAAAACAACAUUUCAAGCUUUAAAAAUAGCGUAUUUUGUAGUAUAUUAUUUAGACCGUCUAUUUUCAAGAUUUCAAGUAUUUAUAGAUUUACAUGAUCAACAUUAGUUUUGGAACUCUAAAUUUCAUAUUUAGGGGCAAAAAUAGUUUUGAAACAAUCACUAAGCGUUUGAAUAUUAGAUUUGCAUCAUUCAGUUUGGAAUAUUAUAACUGCAUUUUUCACCAGACUUUGGAGGUGCGCAUUGAUAAUUGGGAAAAUUAUUGAUACCCCCAAUUUUACUUUUUCAUAUAUCCUAUUUCGAAUUACUUUUUGUAUUUUCUUUUGUAUAUACCUACUAAUCAAAUAGUCAAUGAGUUUUAGGAUCAAAAUGUUCUUUUUCCUCUCUUCUCGUUUUUUUAAAAUUGAUCAUGUGCCCAUUCUCUCCCAUUCUUUCUCUCUCUCUACCCAUUCUCUCUCUAUGUUUCUCCCUCUCUCUCAUCCUCUCUGAUUUUCUCUUUGCACACCCUCUACCAUCUCUCCCAUUCUAUCUGUAGUAGCACACAUCGAGAUGAAUAAGCUUGAAAAUGCGGGUAGACAGCCAAAAUGGGAGGGAGGGCAUGGUAGAGAGAGGGAAUAAGAAGGUAUGGGAGAGAGAAGUUUGAGGAAAAAGUAGAGAGAGGGCGGGUAGACAGAGAAUGAGAGAGAGGGUGGGGUUUAGAGAGAGGGAAGGGGACAGGAUGAGAGAGAAGUUUGGGAAAAAAGUAAGACGGCGGGUACACAGAUAAUGGGAGAGAGGGCACAAGCAGACAGAAGUUUUGGGGAAAGGAGAGAGAGACUGCAAGUGAGAGAGAACUUAGUUUAAUUUGGUGGAGAGAAUACGGAUGAGAGGGAGCUUGGUUUUUUGGGUAAGUUCAAAAUAUAGAAGAGAGAGAAUAUGAAAAACAAGUUAAAAAAAGGAGAGAAAAAAAAGGGUAUUUUGGUAACAAAAUGGUUUAACUAUUUGACAGGCGGUUAAAGUAAGCAUAGAAGUUCUAUCAUCCUUCUUAUCCAACCUUCUAUUAUGAAUGAAAGUCUAAGAUUGCCGCAAUCACAAUGUCAUGUCUUUACACUAUUUUAUUUUAAAUUUUUUUUUCUAUAAGCUAUUUUGACACCAAAUUUUGGACCCAUUCUUUCUAUUAAAUUCGCACUAGCGAAAAAUACAUAAAAAAUAUUUUCAAUAAAAUAAAAUAACCAAAAUACCCUUGAAAGUUUUAAAGGGUAUUUUGGUCAUUAUAUUUUUAUAGAAAAAUUAUUUUUAAUAUUUUUUUAUAGGUGCACCCCAAUGAGAAAAUGGUACGUACCAAAUUUCAUAUUAAUACAAUUUGUAUAAAAAAACUAAAAAUAAAAUACUUCGAAACGCCGAAUCUAAGAUCAAAUGGUGAGUGGCUCUCUUGAUCAAAAUUGGACCGCUGGAUGGUAGGGGAGGAUAGAACUUCUAUGUUGUAGAAAAAAAAUAGAAACCUUUCUUUAAUACAAAAUUAAAUGGGGUAAGAUAUGUGAAAAGUUGAAAUUGGGGGAGGUGGUAUCCAUUAUUUUCCCCUUAUAAUUUAAAGUGUGCUCCCUAUGUAAACGACACCCAUAUUAGUUGAGGCACAUGGGGACUUGACUCAAAGCAAUAUUUUUCUAACCAAUACUUUAAUAAAUUAACUUGGAUGUGCAUAGAAAGAGGUAUGCUAUUCAAAAACAAAAGAGGUAGUAUGUACGGGAGAACCUUAAAAAAUUGAUAAUGAGCUGGUCAAGGAGGGAAUACAUCGGCUCAUGCGAUAUGUUUCCCCCUCUUUCUUUUGAUUUUAUUAUUUUUAUUAAGUAAAUACCAAAAGAUUUCAUGCUCUUGGGGGAGCACAUUGUCCAUUUACUCCAUUGGUGAAAACUAAUAUAGGAGUAAUUUUAGGUUCCCAAUUUUCGGCUGAAAGUUACUUUUAAGGACUUUGAAUGGAAAUUUUUCCAUGCUCUCUUAACAUGUAGUCCAUUUACUUCAACCUAUAAGUGCACUUUUGUGACCCAAAAUUUUGGGAUGCAGGGCGGCAAUGGACCCGACCAGACUCGGAUCCGACUGUAGAUCGGACCUUGGGUCUGGGUAUGGGUCCAAAUUUUGGACCCAAAAGGUCGGAUUUGGGUCUGGGUCUAGCCAGACCAGACCCGAAUAAUAUAAGCAUAUGCGGGUAUUCAUAAAUGUUGCCAAUACUAUCAUUUCUUAGAGAUUUCUUGUUAUUAUGUAAAACAGUAAGUAAUGUGGAUAUUCAUAAAUGUUGUGCAAUAGUAUAAAUGUUGUCAAUAAUAUAGGUAUAUGAUGGUAAAAAGAAAAAAAAAAAAAAAAAAAAAAAAGAAAAAGAAAAAAAAGCUCAGUCAUGGGCAAGCUUUCUAUACUUCCCAUACAACAUAAAACUUAUAUACUUUCCCCUACCCAACGGUCCAUUCUAAAUGGAUGAUUGAGAUGGCCCCAAUCACAAUAUCAUGUCACUAUACUAUUUUAUUUUUAAUUUUUUCUACAAAACAUUUUGACACGAAAUUUUAGGUGUCCACUCUUCUCUUAAUCUCGCACUUGUAAACAAUUUAGAAAACUAUUUUCAAUAAAAUAAAAUAACCAAAAUACCCUUGAAAGAUUCAAGGGGUAUUUUGGUUAUUAAUUCUAUUAAAAAAUUCUUUUUAAUAUAUUUUUUAGGUGCACCCUAUUGAAAAAAUGGCACAUACCAUAUUCAUAUGCAUACAAUUUGUAAAAUAAAAUAAAAUACUCUGAAGCGUCGGAUCUAGAUCAAACAAUCAGUGGGUCACUUGUUCUAAAUUGAACGGUUGGAUGGAGGGGGAAAUAUAUAUCUUCCACGUUGUAAGAGAAGUAUAAAAAUCUUUCCCCAUAGUCUAAGGGUGACAAUGGAUUCAACCAGGCCUAAAGUUCGACAUGGAGAUCCGACCUUGGUUCCGGAUAUGGUUCCAAAUUUUGUACCCAAAAGGUUAGGUCCAGGUCCAAAACCUGGACCCAAAUAGUAUUUGGGUCGACCCGUUGCCAUCCCUGGGAGCAGCCUCCGUGAUAAAACUUUGUGUCUAAAGAAAUUGGACUUUGUGUCAAUGAGUGUUCCACUUCAUUAUAAAACACUCCGCUGAUGUCUUCUGCCCAAAGUUGUACUUGGUCCUCCUUAUUAGAAAGAGAUUAAGCGAGAAGAAAAGGUUCGAUCCUCUCUCUCACAGGCCUCCACCGAAGGGCUCAAGGCAAGUUUUACGGCAAGCUUCAGGUGACGUUGCAGGCUAGAAUUCGGCCAAGGUCUCGCAUCGGGUGAGUCUUUUUCAAAUUUUGUUUUAAUAUUUACUUUAGAAAAUACAAAAGUAAUUUUUGUUUUUCCCUUUGUUGUGUUUAGGAAAAACAUUUGUGCUUUUUUACUUUCCGGCGCAAAUCCAGCAAUAAUAUACUUUUGUUGUUGUGUCUUGUACUCUUUUUUUUCUCUUUCUUCUUCUUUUCUUCAUUUUCCUAUCUUCUUUGGAAAAUGCUUUUAAAUGUUUAACUCAUCAACGAUAAACAAGACCUAAAAAAACAGCAGAGCUUCAUUUAUCAAAUUUCUAAACUUUAGCUUAUUUAAGUCCGGAAUUAUUUGAAAUUGAAAUUGAAUACUCCUGCCAUGACAUGAAAUUGCGUGUGCCGCUAAUCUCAGAUGUAGAUUUGAUGGUUAGGAACUUAUUGUAAGAAGGGGAAGCAUAAAAACUUUUUCCGUAUUUUGUCGAGUAAAAUGAAAUUGCGUGUGCCAAUAAUCUCGGGAAAUUUAUUAAAAUCUGAACUUUAAAAAUGGCACUUUAAGCGCGAUAUGAAUACUUGUACGGUAGCUUCGAAUGAAAUGACACAAAAGGUAUCGUUAACAGCUGGCUUCCAAUGAACUUGUGCUCGUAUGAAACUUUUCACACGUAUUUAAAUAAUGUAUAAAUGAUCACCAUCAUAUUUGAUAUAUAUUUUAAAAAAGUUAAAGUCUUAUUUAUAUGUAAUACUAUUUUUUUUUUUUUUUUUUUGAGAUGUGCGACAAAUUUAAUAUAACCAUUUGGUAUUCUAUUCAUGGGAGAGGAUGUCUUAGUGUCAUUUUUUUUUUUUAAUGAUUAAUCAUGCUGUAAGACCCUCUCACACCCAUGUGUAGAUGACUUUAAAAUAGCACUAUUAAAUUUGAUACCGAUUUCUAAAAACGUUAUCACGUAUGUAUAGUACUUGACUUUUUUAGAGAUAUAUAUCAAAUUGACUAGUGAUCAUUUAUAAUCCUACACAUGCAAGUCUGGGAGUGUCUCGUAAAGUCAUUUUCCUUGGUGUGGUUUGUACAUAGCAAAGGCUCUAAAAAGUAGAGCUCAUCCUCAAAUUAGUGUCGAGAAUUAUAGUUUCAUUGAUAGAAAUAUUUUUAAAAGCCUUAAAAUAUAUUUUAUUUUUAAUUAUAAAAUUUAAAGCUUAAAAAUUAGUGUAGAUUGAUCAGAUCCGUAAAAACUUGAAAAUCUUAAAAAUUGACGGUCCAAAAAUAUAUUAUUGGAUGUAUUAUUUCCAAAACUUUAAAUCCAAUAUUUUUUCAUGUUCAUACAUCUUAAUAUCGAGAUGAUCAAUUUGAAGAUAUUUGGGUAUCAAAAUAAUAUCUUCUAAUGAAAUUUUUGAAGUAAGCCUUAAUUUGAUUGUUUAGAGACUCGGCUUUAUAUAAAUUUUUUCCUUUUUAAGUUUUUUCUAAUUUAUUUUAUAAUCUUUGAACAUUUUUUGCGUUCGUGCAUUACUGAUUAUAUUGGGGGCUCACUCGAUCUGGGCAAUUUAUUGUGCCACUAAUCUCGGGAAAUUUAUUAGUGGGAAAAGUUUAUAUAGGGUUGCAACUUUAAAAUGUAGAUCUCCAGAUGCACCUCAAAAAUCCAUCAAAAAAUGUUGUUUUAAUAUUGAAAAACCAUUGAAUUGAUCAUCUCGACUUAAAGAUAGAUGAAUAUGAAAAAAAGAAAGAAAAAGAUUUGAAGUCUCAAAAAUAGUGCAUCUUGCAACACAUUAUCUAAAUCGUCUAUUUUCAAGAUUUUUAUAUGUUUAUAGAUCUCAACUAUUUUUAGAGUUUAAUGAGAUAUGAAAAUAGAUUUUCAAAUAAUCCUAUUAAUUUUUAACACAAAAAAUACAUACAUGAUAAAGUUUGGAGGUGCACCUUAAUUGGUUUGAUCAAGGUUACAACCUUAUAUAAACCACACCCACCCUUUAUUAAGUCGUCAUUCUUAUUACCCCUGUUUCUCUCUCGGAGAUCGAAGAACAAUGGCUCCGGAAAUAAGUGAGCAAGGAAGGGAGCACCAUACGAUAGAUAUGGCGAACGUGGGGUCAAGAAAUGAGGCUCAGGAAAUAACUGAGCACGGGACGAUGGUUGUGGCGAAGAUCGAGUCAGGAAAUGAGGCUGUCCCAAUGGCGACCGAAAUAGCUGAGCAAGGAAGUGAGAACAUCGAGCCAGGAAAUGAGAGUGCCUGGAAGAAUCACUCUGUUUACAAAGUCCCUGCUUUCAUGGCCAAAAUGCACGAGGGAGCCUUCACGCCCAAGCUCAUAUCCAUGGGCCCCUACCACCACGGUAACCCUGACCUCCUGCCCAUGGAAGAACACAAGCGCCGGGCGCUCAAACACUUUCUCAAACGCACAGGGAAACCUCGUCAGCACUACUUAGAUGCACUCCAAAAUGUGGAGCAUAAGCUCGUUGCCUGCUACGACUGGUCUCAUGUCUCGGCCCCUGAGAGCGCCGAAUUCUUGAAGAUGAUGCUCUUUGAUGGCUGCUUCCUCAUAGAGUUGCACCGCAGUACCUGCUAUCGCCAGACCGCGUACUACGAGCAGAAUGACCCUAUAUUCAACAACAUUGAUGCACCAUAUGCCUACCACUUAUACAAUGACAUGAUCAUGGUCGAGAACCAGAUACCUUUGCUGGUUUUGCACACACUGCUCGGGGAUGUCCCUUUCUCCGAGGUCAACAAGUUGGUGCUAGAGCUCUUCGAUGAACCUCCGACAUUGGAGCUGCCGGGGCUGGGACUGCAUUUGUUGGACGUGAGAAUAAAGGGCAAGCUGGGAGAGCAAUCACCUUCAGUUGAGAAGGAGGAGGAGCCUGCAAGCAGGCGCAGACACCUGAUGCCGGGACUGAGCUGCUGUCUACAGGACUCCGAGGGAAAGAGCAGUUCACACCACGCCUCCAACCAGGAUAAGGAUUACGAUGGUUGGGAUUUCAAGCUACCUUCGGCCACAGAGUUGUACGAAGCCGGUGUAAAAUUUAAAAGGAGCGACCAGGAUGGGUUCAUGAACAUCAGUUUCGACCACGGAGAAUUGCGCUUACCGCUGCUAAACGUCACCGACAAUACGGUAAGUGAAAUAGAUUUUUUUGGGUAAUUCAGUGGAGAAGAUAGGUUCCUACGAGUUUUUUCAAUAGAUAAGGGAAUUAUAUUUUGAAGGUGUUAAUUGGGGGUGUCAACGUUAGGAAUGGACACUAUAAUGUGGAAACGGGGUGUGGGGAUGCUAUCACCAAGAACCUACCUCUUUUCUAAAGGUUACCAUUGUCGAAGAAAAAAAAAGAAGUAAGGAUUUGGGGCCCACCCUUUGUUGAUAAUGUUUUUUAAAGGUUACCAUUGUCGUCCAAAAAAAAAAAAAAAAAAAAAAAAAAAAGAAAAAGAAUCAGUAGGGAUUUGGGCCCCACCCUUUGUUGUUAAUGGAGUUAAAGACCUCAACAUAGAUAGAUCGACAACAAUGCUAUCGCCAAGGCUCCAUGCCUCUCAAAAGUGAUAAGUUAAUGGGGAUUUCAGGCUGUUACUUUUUUGGUGAGAUUGGAGUUAGAUAUCUCAUCAUAAAAACGUUUUAAUUAUUUCAUUGACCAAGCUCAAACUUUAAUAAAAUAUUUUUUGAACUUUGUGACACAUCCAAGCUAUCAAAUUUCAUAUCGGACUAAUUGUAAGUAAUUGUGACCACCUUAUAUCUAAAGUAAAUGGUCUCAUUGUAUACAAUCCCCAUAACUCUAAAAUAAAAUAUUUUGCUUGUGUGUUUCAUGGGUAUUUUGAAUUUAAAUAAAAUUAUAGUUGAGAUGUUCAAUAACAUCUCUUUAGUACAUUUUGAUAAUUUAAAUUAUCAGUUUUGGUGCUGAUGUGUCAUAUUUAUUGUACUUCCGCUUUCCAAAAUUGAUCUUGUAAGAUUGAUUAAAAGGGAUGAAAAAUUUCACCAGCUCACUUGUCAUACAUAUGAAAACAUUAUAUUUUAAACCUUAAAAAUAGUCUAUUUAGUAUUUUUGUUAGACCAUAAUCAUCACAUGUGCCUGUUAUUCUAUCUGCAAACCCAUUGAUGCAAUGAUUUGCGAUGUGUUUCAAAUCCUUUUCUUUUUUUAAAGCCAUGAAAAUCUUUUUCAGGUUGAAUCUUGUGCAAGGGGUACCCGGUGAUUUCUCUUUUAAUUUAGUUGAGACGUAAAGAUAAAGACAUGGGUGUGGUUUGUAAAAGGCUGAGGCCCUAAAAUGUCAAAUAAGGAGCACCUUUAGAUAGUGAUAAUAUUGAAAGAUGUUUAAGUAUUGAAAAUAUUUGGGAUGGCUUGGAAUUUUAUUUUCAUAUCUAGUUAUAAAAUUUAAAUAUUUAAAGAUAGUGUAGAUUUAUGAAUACUUGAAAAUUGAUGGUCUAAAAAAUGCAUUAUAAGAUUCACUAUUUUCAAAACUAGAAAUCUAUUUUUUCUCAUAUCCAUUUAUCUUGAUGUCAAGAUGAUUACUUUGAGGACUUUUGGGCCUCAAAAUAACCUCUUAAGUGAAUUAUUUAGGUGCUCCUUUCAUCGUUUAGGGCCUCACAACUCACCUUGAGUCCUCUCUCCCAAAUCCAUCCUAGAGAUAAAUUUUCAAUCUUAAAUUUUAGAGGAUCAUAAUAUAUAGUGAACUUGAAUAUACAAAAAAGGAACUAAAAAAAAAAAAACUACAAAAAAUUGAUGUAUUUUAAUUUUUUAACGGUUGUUUUAUAGUUUUGGUGGGAUGGUCCAACUUUUAAGACGCGAGCAGCAUUAGGGGACGCAAAUGUAGAAGUGCAGCCCAUAACGCAUGCUAUAAACACCUAAGCUUGUCAUGUAUAUUAUGCGCCAACUGAAGCGCACUAUAUAUUUACCUAGAGAACGCUUUCUAGAUUUCAGCCAUUGUAUUUAAGUUAGAGAAAAGUUUAUAUAGAGCUGAGGCUCUAAACAAUCAAAAUUUGAGUCUACCGCAAAAAUUUCACUUGGAAAGGGUGUUUUGAUACUCAAAUAUCGUCAUAUUGAUCAUCUCGAUAUCAAGAUGCAUAGACAUAAACAAAUGGAUUUCAAGUUUUGGGAAUAGUGUGUCUUGUAACGCAUAUUUGGACUAUCAUUUUUCAAGGCUUUUAAGUUUUCAUAUAUCUAUCGAUCUACACUAUUUUUGAAACUUUAAACUUUAUAAAUAAAGAUGGAAAUAUAUUUUAAGGCUAUCACAAAAAUUUUCAGUAUUGAAACCACAUUUCUUGACACUAUUUGAAGGUAGGCUCUAAUUUGAUUGUUUAGAGGCUAGGCUCUAUACAAACCGCACCCUAUAAGUUAUAUACUUCUCCCCCUUCCAAUCGUCCAAUUAAGAUGGACGAUUGAGGUCCCUUGUCUCAAACUGUCACAAGUGAGCUAUUGACCGUUUGCUUUGGAUCCAACGUCUCAUAGUAUUUUAUUUUUAAUUGUCUUUCUACAAAUCAUAUAAAGAUGAAAUUUGGUACACCCCAUCAUAUUAAUUGAGCACACCUAAAAAAAUAUUUCUUAAAAAAUAAAAUAACCAAAAUACCCAUGAAAUUUUUAUGGGUAUUUUGGUCAUUUUAUUUUAUCGAGAAUAUUUUUUUAAUAUUUUUUUGCAGGUGCAAGUUUAAGAGAAGAUUGGACGCCCAAACUUUGGUGUCAAAGUGUUUUGUAGCAAAAUUUAAAAUAAAAUAGUGCAGGUGAGUGACAUUGUGAUUGAGACAUCUCAGCCCUUCGUUCUGAUCGGACGGUUGGACAUUGGGAAAUAUAUGAAUACAUAUACAGGGGAAGUACAUAAAUCUUUUCCUUACUUCCUGGGGUAGAAGAUUUGUUUGGUAGUAGUUUUUCAUGGUAAAUUUUAGGUACCACUUAAGAAUCGUUAUUUUUUUAAAGAAAUUUUUUUUAUUUUGAGUAGUCUAAUAAAUCUCACCAUCUGAAAAUUGGGUGGUCAAAUUAUAUUUUAAGCGUGCAGAGAGUGAGAUUCAGAUUUGUUUGUUUACACUAAUUUAGAUUUAUUUAAUUAUUUUUAAUGAGGUUAAUCUAUUGGGUUAAAGAAAUUUUUUUUGUUUGGGUUAUUCAGUAGGGAAGACGUGCUCCUCCUUAUUUUUUUCAAGUAGAUUAAAAAUUAGAUUUUUGAAUGUAUUAGUGGUGAGAAUGUAUUAAGAGAUGGUGUUAGUAGUGGGAAUGAAAAUCACAAUGUGGUGAUUAGGGUUUGAGGUGCUACUACUACGAUCCUAGCCUUUUUCUUAAAAAAAGACUCGAUAGUACUACUCUCAAAGCCCCAAAUCUUGUGAUCCGAAAAAUGUUAUUUUACCCUAAAAAAUAAAUACACUCUUGUGAGAGCCUAAAAUAUUUUGCCUCUGUAUGCAGGAAUCCUACCUCCUGAAUUACAUGGCGUUCGAGCAGCUAGGUGGCGCAUGGUUGGGCAACGAUGGCACCAAGGUCUCCUCGUUUGUGGUCUUCAUGGAGGACCUGAUUGACACGGCCAAGGACGUGCAGAUUCUUCAGCAUGCACGCAUACUAAAGAACGGGUUGGGGAGCGAUGACCAGGUGGCGCAGCUCUUCAACGGAAUCACAAGGGGGAUGAUGGCUUAUGACGGUCCCCAGAUGAAGGAGGUGAGGAGCAAGCUGGUAAAGUAUUGCCAUAGACCGUGUAACAAGUGGCGAGCUAACCUUUGCCACACCUAUUUAAGAAACCCAUGGACCAUUACCUCCGUGGUUGCUGGAGUGGUCCUCCUGCUACUUACAUUCCUCCAAACCCUCUACUCGAUGCUAGCCUACUAUAAACAACCACCCCAACCCCACACUUGAUAUUUUAUCUCCUUCACAACCCUGUAAAACUGUUCGAGUUAUGGUGGGUGAAAUGGGAGCAGAAAAAUGGUGUGAUUUGUAUAAUUAGAUCACAAACUUUUCUUGUUUUUCAGGCAUACAGCUAUCUCAAGGCGAUAUAUUUGCCUCCUUUUAAUGUAGUAUUUAUUGUGCAUAAGAAAGAUCAUUCGUCCUCAAGAUACAAGAAAACAUAGAGGUCUUGUAACAAUAUUUCUAAGCUCUACGUACCCGAGCUUGGAACCCAUAUAAUAGACACCAGAAUCUCGAUAGUUUAGAGAGACAGAAAGAUAAAAUCGAGUAGAAAGAGAGAGAGUUAGCUCACUGAUUUGCUUGCUGGAAUUGCUUGAUGACAAUGGUCUCUUGAGAGAGGCAAAAAAAUUAUUCUCAGUGUGAUAAAUAAACUUACUCGUAUGGGUAGGAGGCCCACUAUUAUAAAGCAUCAAAAAGCCGCAUUUAGUGUUGUGGUGGUUACAUACAUCACCCAACAACUAUAAGUUACUUGCAUCCCAACAGCUACAAGUUUCAUGAGUUACAUACACUUGAAUGCUGCCGUUACAAGCCACUUGAAUGCUGUCGUUACCAGCCCCCAUCUCAUCAAUGGCUACAUGACCGUUGGAUGUACUACACUCUUCGACGGCUAGCUAACCGCCACUCAUUGAUGGCUAGCUGACCGACACUCCGACACAUUGAUGGUUUAAGUGACCAUUGGGUGUCCCAUACUCACAACGACUAGAUGACAGUUGGACUCCCCUAUGAACCGGGCUCACAAAAAGAUAAUGAGCCACGAGCCCGACCUGCACACGUGCUCGGGCGAAGUGCAAAGUGCGCCAUCAAGCACCCCUUGCGCCCACACCCUCGCACAUGCAUGUGCGUGUGCGCGUCACACGCUUCGCGUGCUCCGCAAAUUCACCUUUUCUCUCCUUUGUACUUUGAGUAUAUUCCAAUGGAAUACAUGCUCUUAAAUACAGCUCAACAAACUCUCUCCUCUUCAAUGUGAAAUUCAAACCCACAUCUUUCUCUCUCUACAAAGAAGUUUAUGAAGAACAAUAAAAUCAUAAUCAAAACAAUUUAGGAAAGAAUGGUAUUCCAUAGUGUUGUUUUGAAAAAUAUAGAAGUAUUUUUCAAACAAAAAAUAUUAACAAUUUCCUCCACUAUUUCAUAUUAACAAAACAAAACAUAAGAAAUAUAUUAUUUACAUUCCAUGAAAGCAGCUUUUGAUUUGAACUUUCAUUUAGAGUGUACACUGCAAAGUCAAUCAAGUACCGUGGUUGCUUAAAGCUUUGAACCAGGUUGCUUAUUUAAUAGAUCGGUAGUAUAACUCACAAACGUUAUUCAACUCUGGUGUCUUUUUAGCUACCAACACGUUUCGAGCCUUGUGCUUAUAUCCCGAUUUCAUAAGUGCUCUAGAGACGAAUUCAUUUCAUAAAAAGUGGCCUCACUUCCACACUUAUAUAGGUGUGUCUAUCAAGAGUGCUCAUGUAUAUAAAACACUUCGGCUUAUAUAUAUUCUAUAGACAAUAUUAUGAGCAUAACUCAUCCUACUAACAUACAGGUCAUCACUAGACUUAUCCACCAUAUAGAUUUCCUUAGAAUAGGUACUUACAAAAUUUUUGUCUAGUGACCAAACUAACCAUAAGUAUAAUAUGUUUUUACCAUAUUGAACGUAAAAUUUUGAUGUUAGAAAAGACUAAGUUGGACUCCUACUGUAGAUGAUUAUUCAAUGGACUCUAGCUCCAUUCUUAUUGACAUCUUACUAAUGUCAUCCCUUGUGAGGCCUUUAGUCAAAGGAUCUGCCAAAUUUUCCUUUGAUCUUGUAUAUUCUACACUAAUCACCCUAUCUCCAAUUAAUAAUUUAAUGUACUUAUGCCUUAUCGCAAUAUGUUGAGAUUUUUCAUUAUAUACACAAUUACAUGCUCUCGCAACAGUGUUGAUGAUGCAAAAUCUGACAGAUCUCCAAUGAAGAUCUGGGGAUCUUAACACCUUAUACUUAUGAAAAUGCUGUAAAUAAAGUGAGACAACUCGAAUUUAGAUCUAAAGCCAGAUCUGCCCGGAAACGAACAUAUCUUCUCUUAGAUAUGUGGUAGCGCCGGCAUGAUCAAGACAUUACAAAAUAUGAUUUUUAAGCAAAUGAAAUGAAAAACAAUAAAGUAGGAUAAAUAAAAUGGGAAGAAAUGAUACCAAAAUUGGCCGGAUGGCCUGGGACUCCCUAGCUUCGUAGGGCUCGCCCGUAUUAGAACCGGUCCUCUUUUGCCUCUCUGAUUCGGAUGUCGAUCAGCCAAUCACUAGUGUAAAGGGUUAGAUCUAGGGAUGUUGUGCCCUAGGUCUAGUUCGGAUCUAGGGUUGUUGUGCUCUAGGUCUAGGUUUUCUCAGGCGUAAGGGUUAGGGUCUCAGAAGGUUAGGGUUUUCUGAAGUUAUCUCGAGGGUUUCUAAUCUCUCUGAGUUUUCUAUCUCUAUUCCCCAUCAAAUGGCCACGAAAAGAUGCAUUAUAGGGGUCAAAAUCCAUUGAGAAUGAUAAACUCACGUAACCAACAUGUACAUAUCAAAAAAGCGUUUUGCGGGUCACAGAUCUAGGCGACAUGGGUUGUGUCGCUCGGGCGACACUAGCAAUGUCGUCCAAAUUUGGGCAACAUUGGGCGUGUUGCCCAUUCCAGGCUAGGCUGGGUGACACGGCUAGUGUCGCCCAACUCAAAAAAAGUCCGAAUUAAAAUAUUUUUUUCAGAUAUGUUCCUCAGUCUCUUGUGAAGCUCUCAGAGAAAAUUUGGGUCAAUUUUUUUUUUUUUACUAUUUUUAAUGAUUGUUUUGGUAAAAUAGGGCAUGUACAAGAAUCUAGGUCAAAACAGGGUUUUUGUAGGGUUUCGGGCAAGCAGAUUGGUUCCGGGUCACAAGAUAGGUUAUGUGAGCUAUGAAUUUAGGUUUACUAGGUUAAGUGCGAUACUAAAGGUUCAGGAAACCAUAUAAUUUGUCAGUUUUAAAAUGAGGUGUCUACAAAUAGUAGCUUGAUUAUCACAAUAUAUUGUUCUGCAGAUAUUAGUUUUGGCCGUAUGAGAAUGUUAUCUAACAUUUUUAGCCAUUCAACCUCUUUACCAGCAGAGUCAAAAGCAAUAAUUUCAGAUUACAUAGUAGAGCGUGGAAUACAUGUUUGUUUAUUUGACCCCUAUGAUAUCGCACUACCUGCUAAUUUAAAUAUCCAUCUUGAUGUUGAUAGUAAAUCUUGGAUUUCAUUAUUCCAAUUAGCAUCACUAUAACCUUCCAAAACUCCGAGAUAACCCACAUAUGUUAUGCCAUAAUUGAUAGCUCAUUUCAAGUAUCUUAAUACUUGAUAUAUAACAUCCUAAUGCUCUUUACUUGGGCAACUUGUAUAUCUACUAAGUUUGCUAACCACAUAUGCAAUGUCAGGCCUCGUGCUAGAUAUUGCAUACAUUAAACUAUCAAUUACCCUAGUAUAUUCAAGUUGAGUUAUACAUCUCUCAUUAUUUUUCUUUAACUUAAUAUGAUGAUCUAUCUCUCCAAAGAUCAAUCCAAAAGGGCUGGAGCAAGACUAAAGUAUUGGGGCCUUAGGUAGUUAGUUCUAAAUUGAAAUCCAUAUGCCAUUGAGAGGGUUUUUGUUAUAUGUAGGAGACUUAAGAGACCGAUCAUAGAUCCCGAGCACCAUCAGAAGGAGGAGACUCGGUGUGGGGUGUACUAAGCCCGGUUGAAGUAAUCUCCGACAAUUUUAUUUUUUAAAAUCUUUAUUUGUGAUUUGAUCUUUUCUUCCCAUAAAACAAUGAGUUAAAGUUUUGAUUUAAUGAAUUAUAUUCAAUAAUGGUAGCAAGUGAAAUACGUGUUUCUAUUCUUUUAUUUAUUUGUUUUUCAAGAGUGAUUUGUUUGUAAUUGAAAAUUAUGAGUGGUCAUAAGAAUGAGAAUAAUAAAAAAAAAUUUGAUUCAUAUAAACCGAGCUUGAUCACAUAGUCCAACUUUCACAUAAUGCCACUAAGGCUCUAAGACAUGAGGUCUGGCAGAUGGCACCAUUGAAUAAAGUUCAUUGAAUCUCCUUCGACAAUCACUUUGAGGUGAUUAACUCUCUUUCUCUCUCCAUAAGUAGGGCAUCUAUUAGCGUCCACGAUUCCUUUUAAGAAACCCAUUUGAUUCGAAGCUCUCUUGGUACUACACCCUUUCACAAUAAGUAAAAUUUUAGCUGUUAAAAAGCUGUAAUUUUCUCUCUUCUGCUUCUCUUCUUUUUCUUUUCCUUUUGUUUUUUUUUUUUUAGAAAAUCAUGCACAGCAUACCAUUGGGUUCACCCUCCACUUCUCUCUCUCCUAUGCUGUGUAUUUGUGUGUGCACUUCAAGUGAUCCAUGCCCCAUAGCUCGCAGUCUCAUUUAUCUUGUUUUGCACGUAAAAUACUUAGUCCAUGUUUACCAUGAUAUACAUUAAUAUUUAUUGGAAAUAGUGGUAAGAGAGAGUAGGUCUUAGGUGGAAUGGAGUGUUAAGUAGCACACAUGGAACCCCUCUCUGACCCAAUAAGAAGUCAAUAUGAAGUACUUAUUUUCUUGCUUGCAUAUCUUUCUUCCUGUCAAGAAAAACGUAAGUGAAAUAUUUUACCAAAUGUUAAUUUAAUAAUUUUUAGCCAACCUCAAAUUGUAAAGAAAAGACUUUGAUGAUAAUGAUUUGUAGUUUAGUAAUUUUUUUUAUUGCUCGAAAGAAGAUAUACAACUAAUUUAAUAAUUAAUUAAGUUAAGACUCAGACGAUGAUGAUAAUGAGAAAUAAUGAUAAAAAAGAGUGACAACAAAUAAAAAAUUAGAAACCAUGUGCAAAUUGAAGCGUUAAUAGUUUUAAUACAUACCCAAGAAAAGAAUGUCCAAUACAAAUCUCUCUUAGGCCUAAUGUAGGCCCACUUUGAUCUAAAAUAUUAUCUUGUAAUGUACCACCGCUCGAGCUAUUGUUUUUUAGGUAAUAAUUUAUUUAAUUAACUUAAGACUUUUGUGCAUUGUAAGAGGUGGUAUCUAAGACGGUUCAAAAGCGGAGGAGGUGCUAUGUAGCUGAAGACCUUAGCACUCAUUCUUUGAUUUGUAUUUUCCUGAUUAGCUAAGUGCCAAAAUAUUUCAUGCUCCCGCACGGAGCAUAUUGUCUAAGUACUCCUGUGGGUUAAAAUCAAUGAGUAAGUUUCAGUUCCCAUUUUGGGGUAGAAUAUAUUUUUAUUAAAAAAAAAAGGACUUUGAAAAUCCAUUUACUCCCUUCUAAAAGUUGGGGAUGCCGCCUCUUAGACCAAGCGACAAAUCUCAAAAAGAGUUAAAUAAAAAACAAUCCAAUUGGACUUUGCGUCUGAAAACAUUAAUAUCAAAUUAUUAAACUGGGACAAUUCAAUAUUUGAAUGGUUAGAAACUCAAACAGCCCUUUUUUAUUUUUUGAAAAUAAUUAUUGGCGAUUUCUAAAUGAAUCCCAAAAUUUAAAAUAGAAAAAAGAAAACACCUAACAUAUCAACUAUCUAGCAUUUUACUGAUUUUCAACUAUUCCAACUUAUGAUUAUGUAUAUUUGAGAGAAAUAAGUAGGCUGUCAAACUCAUGAUUAUGUGUAUUUUCAAAAUAUCCAUCGAAAUACUCAUGAUUAUGAAUAUUUGGAUGGGUUUUUUGAAAAUAAACCAAAAGAGAUGGGUAAAUUGAGUUGAUAAGUUUUUGGUAUUUUAAUAAAGAAAAAAGUUUAUAUAAAGUUGCAACUUUCAUAAUUACAGAUGCACCUCAAAAAUCCAUCAAAAAAAGUUAUUUUAAUGUUGAAAAACCCUCUAAUUGAUCACCUCGAUAUAUGAACUUGAAAAAAAAUAAUUUUGCGUCUCAGAAAUAGUGCAUCUUGCAACAUAUUAUCUAGGCCAUCCAUUUUCAAGAUUUUCAUAUGUUUAUUGAUCUACUUGAUUUUAACCAUUUUUGGAUUUAAAAAUUUUCUAGUAAGGUUUGAAAAUAGAUUUUGAGAUAAUCCUAAUAAUAUUGUUCACCAAAAUUACAUCUUAUAAUAAAAUUUGAAGGUGUGUCCUAAUUGGAUUGUUUAAGGUUGCAACCUCAUAGAAACCGCACCCCUUAAUAAAAUCCCAUAAAAAAUUCCUUUGACCCAUAAAGUGUUAAAUAGUUGCAUAUUGUGGAUGCUUUAAUUCUAAACAAGCCAAAAAUUGUCGAUUUCAUGGAUGUUUUAAAUUUGGGACUUUUGUUCAAUAAUUUGACUAGAUUUUCCCAUGAUUUAUAUGAAAUGGCUUAUGGAUUUGCAGGCUUAGAUUGGGAAGCCAUUUAAAACCUCCCGAACCUGUAAAUCCAGGAGUUUCCAAUAUUUUUCCAAAAAGAAAACUUUUUAUUUUUACAUGACUCUCCAGGGCUUAGACCAGCCCCACCAGUUUUGAGCAAUGGAGUUAAUUAAGCGAUCGAUAAAAACUUUCUGUAAUCGUGUGAAUAGCGUGCUUCUCUGGGAGAUACAUUCCUUUUGGGAAAUAGAGGUACUUUGGUAUUUUUUUAAUAAAAUUUUAAGAAUCAUAUAUGAAUGAAUUGCGAGGUGAUUAUUUAAAAAAAAAAAGAAAAGAAAAGAAAAAAAAAGAUGAAGUUUCUAUAAGGCACAGGCUUUACGAAAACAAAAUAAAACCUCACCUCAAAUCCUCAUCCGGAAAGUAACUUUGGCAUCGGAAAUCUUUAUGAUGGCUCUAAAACAAUUUUCAAAACCGACAGUAAAAUUUAAAACUCAGAAAAUAGUAUAGACCUUACGGAUCUAAAAACGCUUAUUUUUUGGGUAAAAUGGAUGGUCCAUAUGAUUUCUUGGGAUAUACAUUAUUUUUAGAACUUGAUAUAAAGGUUUUUGAAUAGUAAUUUUUUUAGGAGUUAUGAGGUGUGGCUUUACUUAUUUUGAUAGGGCUGCAACCCUAUCAAACCAUUUUUCAAAAAAUAAAAGGUAUUUGAGUUUUUUGACUCUCAGAUCUAUGCUAACUCUCCAAAAUUCUUAUAAAGACCUGGUUUCUAUGCCGCCUUGCCCGCACAUGUAGAAAUGCAGGCCUCUAAAUAAAUUUAAUUUUUGAGAUGGAUUUUAAGACUUUAUUUCAAGGACAUUUAAUCUCUGACAUAGGGAUCAUGAAUAUGAAAAAAUAAAUAAAAUUUUAAAACUCAAAAUAAUAAUUUUAUUAAAAAAAACAUUCGGACCAUUAUUUUUCAUUGGUUUUGGAUAAAACACCUACUUGCAUCCGUAUUUAAGAUGGAUGUUUUACACUUUCUCGACCGCAUAUGUAGAAAUGCGGUCCAGCCCACAUGAAACAAUUUUCCUUCUUAUAAUGGCACGUAUAACAUGGUCUAAAUGUGAGUGUACUUUAAGUUUUUUUUUUAAUUAAAUUGUGAGAUCCAUCUAUGAAUCACCAAAAGGUUUUUUAUAAAAAAAUAAAGUUUUUAUGACUCUUAGAUCUUUCCUUCAAAAUUUGUAUCAAAGUCAUUCAGCCUAUGAUUUGAAUUCUUUGAGGAGAUUGGUCACCAAGUUGAAAGGUUAAGUAACAAAAAAAUACGAGGUCUUGGCUUUCAACGGUGCGAGCAAAGGGAGAGAUUGUUCUAGCAGGACCAUAAAAUCAUUUCACUUCUUUAUAAAACGCUCCCCUCAUGUUUUCCGCCCGUUACGUUUCCGUUUUGUUAAAAAGAACGGCAGCAGGGGACGUUCUUGUCUUAUUGAGUCUAUAAAGGGUAAAAGAUGAAAAUAGCACUGAGGCCUGCCUCCUUAUUACAAAGAGAGUAAGAGAGAAGAAAGGGUUCGAUCCUCUCUCUCUUUCUCAAGCCUCCAGGCUCAAGGCAAGUUUUCCGGCAAGAGUCGCCGGCAAGACUUUGUCGAGAAGCUCGUACUAGGUGAGUAUUUUUUUUUUCUUAAUAUUUAUUUUAGAAAAUACCGAAAUAGGGUUUAGGAAAAUGAUUGUGUUUACUUUCCGGCAAUAUUCCGGCGAUAAUCCGGCAAUAACCUAAAUUGUUUGAAAUUGAAAUUGAAUAUUCCUUCAGUUCCACAAAAAAGUGGACAAAGAUUAGAUAGAAAAUGAAGCUAGUAAAUGGUCGGAAAGGUUUUUGUAGAGAGAUGAAGGGAAAUUUUGGGGGAUUAAUUGUUGUCUUGGAUAGAAUUGAGAAAGAGCGUUUGGCUUUAGUUUUAGCUGGAUUGAUUAUUUGUAAUAUUAUUUUGAUUUGUUUUCGUUUAGAUUUUUUCGGGUUUUUUUUUUUGCCAUUUUCUUUGUUUUUCCCUAAUUUGACCGGUGCCCUCACCGGUUCAGUCUGGUCCGAUUCGGAAAACAUUUUAUUUUAUAGUAAGUCGCUGUGCGGUCUCAGGGUAUUUAUCAAAGCAGAGCUUGCGUAUCAAAAGCUCUAAAGAAGCCUGAAUAUCAAAGUACUGCCUCUCAAGCUCUACAGUUUCAUGACACAAGAAACAAAUAUGGUGGGAACAGGAAGGGAGAAAUCACAGACGCAAUGGAUGUUGGAUUUGAUGAAUGGGAAGGUCACCAUAAACAGAGAGGAAAAGGCCGAGGAAUGGAAACAACGUUGCAUUUACAAAGUCCCAUGCUUCCUGAAAGAGCGAGCUCCUUAACGAAGCCUUCAUUCCCAGGAUUGGGCCCCUUUCACCAUGGCUCCCCGCACCUCCAACCCAUGGAGCAGCACAAGCGUCGACAGCUCCUCCACUUUCUCAACCGCUCGAAGCACCCCCUCCAAGUAUACCUUGAUGCACUCCAAGCCAAGGAGCAGGCGAUCCGGGACUGCUACGAGUGGCCAGGCGACCUGGCCCCUCCCGAGAGCGCCGAGUUCAUUAACAUGACGCUGCUUGACGGCUGUUUCCUGCUCGAACUCCACCGCAUCAGCCGAACAGACGGCGAGACAGGCUACACAGCCGAGGAUCCAGUGUUUGGCUCAAAAUCGGCAUUGUUCUUUGUGCAUCACCACAAUUAUCGUGACCUUAUGAUGCUGGAGAAUCGAAUCCCUUUGAUGGUCUUGAACACUCUCUUGGACCCACUUGGAACAGGGAUCUGCACCCGGGUGACUGAGGUGGUGCUUGAGUUAUUAGGGGAGGAGAUCCAAGGGAAGGUUUCUGAGGGCAAGAUGGGGUUACAUGCACUACAAGUUUACAUGAUGAACAGUCUCGUCGGCAACAUCCCUGAGAUCGAGGAUUUGAGUGACCCGGAGCCAUAUUUCAAGAAGUUGCCCUCGGCCACAGCGUUGCAUGAAGCUGGGGUGAGGUUCGAAACUAGCGGCAUGAGUGGCCUCACCUUCGAACGCGGAGUGCUACGACUACCAUGGAUAGCCAGCCAUUCACGGAUUUACUCGUGACUGGUGUAGACCAGUUGCUGCACUUGGUUGGACUAUUAACCGGUAUCAUGGCUGGUAUAGUCAAAAGCAAAACUUAUAUUUGGUUAAAAAUAUAAUGAAACUAAUAUUUGACAGGUGCUAUGGGUUUGAGUGUCCACCUAAAAUGUGAAAACUUUCUUAUUUUUACAUAUGUAUUCUAUAUUUUAAAUUAUUAUUUGUAUUUUAUUAUUAUUUUAACCUCUAAUCUUUUUUUUUUUUUGAAAUAGUAGUUUGGCUAAUUUUGACUAUUCCAAACCUCUCGUAAGUUCAAUGACCAAUGUAAUCCUAAUCAACGGUUGGUAUAUAUAUUGAGGUGCCCCCAUACUGGAAUCCAUAAUAGAUAUAGUGUUGCAAUCAUCAACACGAUAUCAUAGUGGUUCAAAGUUUCAAACAUCCAAAUUUGAUCUGAUUCAAAAGGUGAAUGGUUCUAGUCUAGAAAUCCUUGGAAAUGCUUGAUUUUUAGUUUCUCUGUAUUUCUAUUCUAGAUUUUUUUUAUAUUAUUGCUUGGUUUGAAUCGGGGAUCAUCCAACCUUAGGGGAAUGACCACUGNNNNNNNNNNNNNNNNNNNNCAACUAUUCCAACUUAUGAUUAUGUAUAUUUGAGAGAAAUAAGUAGGCUGUCAAACUCAUGACUAUGUGUAUUUUCAAAAAUAUCCAUCGAAAUACUCAUGAUUAUGAAUAUUUGGAUGGAUUUUUUGAAAAUAAACCUAAAGAGAUGGGUAAAUUGAGUUGAUAAGUUUUUGGUAUUUUAAUAAAGAAAAAAGUUUAUAUAAAGUUGCAACUUUCAUAAUUACAAAUGCACCUCAAAAAUCCAUCAAAAAAAGUUAUUUUAAUAUAUGAACUUGAAAAAAAAUAUAUUUUGCGUCUCAGAAAUAGUGCAUCUUGCAACAUAUUAUCUAGACCAUCCAUUUUCAAGAUUUUCAUAUGUUUAUAGAUCUACUUGAUUUUAACCAUUUUUGGAUUUAAAAAUUUUCUAGUAAGGUUUGAAAAUAGAUUUUGAGAUAAUCCUAAUAAUAUUGUUCACCAAAAUUACAUCUUAUAAUAAAAUUUGAAGGUGUGCCCUAAUUGGAUUGUUUAAGGUUGCAACCUCAUAGAAACCGCACCCCUUAAUAAAAUCCCAUAAAAAAAUCCCUUUGACCCAUAAAGUGUUAAAUAGUUGAAUAAUUUUGGAUGCUUUAAUUCUAAACAAGCCAAAAAUUGUCGAUUUCAUGGAUGUUUUAAAUUAGGGACUUUUGUUCAAUAAUUUGACUAGAUUUUCCCAUGAUUUAUAUGAAAUAGCUUAUGGAUUUGCAGGCUUAGAUUGGGAAGCCAUUUAAAACCUUCCGAACCUGUAAAUCCAGGAGUUUCCAAUAUUUUUCCAAAAAGAAAACUUUUUAUUUUUAUAUGACUCUCCAGGGCUUAGACCAGCCCCACCAGUUUUGAGCAAUGGAGUUAACUAAGCGAUCGAUAAAAACUUUCUGUAAUCGUGUGAAUAGCGUGCUUCUCUGGGAGAUACAUUCCUUUUGGGAAAUAGAGGUACUUUGGUUUUUUUUUAAUAAAAUUUUAAGAAUCAUAUAUGAAUGAAUUGCGAGGUAAUUAUUUUUUUAAAAAAAAGAAAAGAAAAGAAAAAAAAGAUGAAGUUUCUAUAGGGCACAGGCUUUACGAAAACAAAAUAAAACCUCACCUCAAAUCCUCAUCCGGAAAGUACUUUUGGCAUCGGAAAUCUUUAUGAUGGCUCUAAAACAAUUUUCAAAACCGACAGUAAAAUUUAAAACUCAGAAAAUAGUAUAGACCUUACGGAUCUAAAAACGCUUAUUUUUUGGGUAAAAUGGAUGGUCCAUAUGAUUUUUUGGGAUAUACAUUAUUUUUAGAACUUGAAAUGCUAAUUUCUUUGCACAACCAUAAUCUUCAAGCUGAGAUGAUUGAUAUAAAGGUUUUUGAAUAGUAAUUUUUUAGGAGUUAUGAGGUGUGGCUUUACUUAUUUUGAUAGGGCUGCAACCCUAUCAAACCAUUUUUCAAAAAAUAAAAGGUAUUUGAGUUUUUUGACGCUCAUAUCUAUGCUAACUCUCCAAAAUUCUUAUAAAGACCUGGUUUCUAUGCCGCCUUGCCCGCACAUGUAGAAAUGCAGGCUUCUAAAUAAAUUUAAUUUUUGAGAUGGAUUUUAAGACUUAAUUUCAAGGACAUUUAAUCUCUGACGUAGGGAUCAUGAAUGUGAAAAAAUAAAUAAAAUUUUAAAACUAAAAAUAAUAAUUUUAUUAAAAAAAACAUUUGGACCAUUAUUUUUCAUUGGUUUUGGAUAAAACACCUACUUGCAUUCAUAUUUAAGAUGGAUGUUUUACACUUUCUCGACCGCAUAUGUAGAAAUGCUGUCCAGCCCACAUGAAACAAUUUUCCUUCUUAUAAUGGCACGUAUAACAUGGUCUAAAUGUGAGCGUACUUUAACUUUUUUUUUUAAUUAAAUUGUGAGAUCCAUCUAUGAAUCACCAAAAGGUUUUUUAUAAAAAAAAUAAAUUUUGAGUUUUUUUUGACUCUUAGAUCUUUCCUUCAAAAUUUGUAUCGAAGUCAUUCAGCCUAUGAUUUGAAUUCUUUGAGGAGAUUGGUCACCAAGUUGAAAGGUUAAGUAACAAAAAAAUACGAGGUCUUGGCUUUCAACGGUGCGAGCAAAGGGAGAGAUUGUUCUAGCAGGACCAUAAAAUCAUUUCACUUCUUUAUAAAACGCUCCCCUCAUGUUUCCGCCCGUUACGUUUCCGUUUUGUUAAAAAGAACGGCAGCAGGGGGACGUUUUUGUCUUAUUGAGUCUAUAAAGGGUAAAAGAUGAAAAUAGCACUGAGGGUUGCCUCCGUAUUAGAAAGAGAGUAAGAGAGAAGAAAGGGUUCGAUCUCUCUCUCUCUUUCUCAAGCCUCCAGGCUCAAGGCAAGUUUUCCGGCAAGAGUCGCCGGCAAGACUUUGUCGAGAAGCUCGCACUAGGUGAGUAUUUUUUUUUUUCUUAAUAUUUAUUUUAGAAAAUACCGAAAUAGGGUUUAGGAAAAUGAUUGUGUUUACUUUCCGGCAAUAUUCCGGCGAUAAUCCGGCAAUAACGUAAAUUGUUUGAAAUUGAAAUUGAAUAUUCCUUCAGUUCCACAAAAAAGUGGACAAAGAUUAGAUAGAAAAUGAAGCUAGUAAAUGGUCGGAAAGGUUUUUGUAGAGAGAUGAAGGGAAAUUUUGGGGGAUUAAUUGUUGUCUUGGAUAGAAUUGAGAAAGAGCGUUUGGCUUUAGUUUUAGCUGGAUUGAUUAUUUGUAAUAUUAUUUUGAUUUGUUUUCGUUUAGAUUUUUUCGGGUUUUUUUUUUGCCAUUUUCUUUGUUUUUCCCUAAUUUGACCGGUGCCGUCACCGGUUCAGUCUGGUCCGAUUCGGAAAACAUUUUAUUUUAUAGUAAGUCGCUGUGUGGUCUCAGGGUAUUUAUCAAAGCAGAGCUUGCGUAUCAAAAGCUCUAAAGAAGCCUGAAUAUCAAAGUACUGCCUCUCAAGCUCUACAGUUUCAUGACACAAGAAACAAAUAUGGUGGGAACAGGAAGGGAGAAAUCACAGACGCAAUGGAUGUUGGAUUUGAUGAAUGGGAAGGUCACCAUAAACAGAGAGGAAAAGGCCGAGGAAUGGAAACAACGUUGCAUUUACAAAGUCCCAUGCUUCCUGAAAGAGCGAGCUCCUUAACGAAGCCUUCAUUCCCAGGGUUGGGCCCCUUUCACCAUGGCUCCCCGCACCUCCAACCCAUGGAGCAGCACAAGCGUCGACAGCUCCUCCACUUUCUCAACCGCUCGAAGCACCCGUCCCAAGUAUACCUUGAUGCACUCCAAGCCAAGGAGCAGGCGAUACGGGACUGCUACGAGUGGCCAGGCGACCUGGCCCCUCCCGAGAGCACCGAGUUCAUUAACAUGACG
rnacentral:lncRNA from 1 species